rnacentral:rRNA from 1 species
AUUGAACGCUGGCGGAAUGCUUUACACAUGCAAGUCGAACGGCAGCACGGACUUCGGUCUGGUGGCGAGUGGCGAACGGGUGAGUAAUACAUCGGAACGUGCCCAGUCGUGGGGGAUAACGUAGCGAAAGCUACGCUAAUACCGCAUACGAUCUACGGAUGAAAGCGGGGGAUCGCAAGACCUCGCGCGAUUGGAGCGGCCGAUGGCAGAUUAGGUAGUUGGUGGGGUAAAGGCUCACCAAGCCGACGAUCUGUAGCUGGUCUGAGAGGACGACCAGCCACACUGGGACUGAGACACGGCCCAGACUCCUACGGGAGGCAGCAGUGGGGAAUUUUGGACAAUGGGCGCAAGCCUGAUCCAGCCAUUCCGCGUGCAGGAUGAAGGCCCUCGGGUUGUAAACUGCUUUUGUACGGAACGAAAAGGCUCUGGUUAAUACCUGGGGCUCAUGACGGUACCGUAAGAAUAAGCACCGGCUAACUACGUGCCAGCAGCCGCGGUAAGAC